rnacentral:rRNA from 1 species
CAGCCGCCACGGGAAUACGAAGGGGGCUAGCGUUACUCGGAAUUACUGGGCGUAAAGGGCGCGUAGGCGGCGCGAUUAGUCAGGCGUGAAAUUCCUGGGCUCAACCUGGGGACUGCGCUUGAUACGGUCGAGCUAGAGGAUGGAAGAGGGUUGUGGAAUUCCCAGUGUAGAGGUGAAAUUCGUAGAUAUUGGGAAGAACACCGGUGGCGAAGGCGGCAACCUGGUCCAUUACUGACGCUGAGGCGCGACAGCGUGGGGUGCAAACAGGAUUAGAUACCCCUGUAGUCCCUGUCUCUUAUAC